CGAACCGCAAGGCUUGGGAGAGCCUGAAGGUUCGACAACGAUCCGCCGACGACCUGGGAGGGUCUGGCGCGGAUCCCUCGAGGGGAGAACCACUGAUGGAGAACACACUCCUCAUCGGACUGUCGCGACAGAUGAUGCUCG
rfam:Nitrobacter sp. 62-23 SCNpilot_cont_300_bf_scaffold_531, whole genome shotgun sequence.